GCCUCAGUGGUUCAACGGUUAAGUGCUCAGCUGCUAACCGAAAGGUUGGUGGUUCAAACCCACCCAGCAGCU
rnacentral:tRNA from 1 species